ACGAACGCUGGCGGCUGCUUAACACAUGCAAGUCGAACGGAGUGGCGAACGGGUGAGUAACGCGUGAGCAACCUGCCUAUGACAGUGGGAUAGCCUCGGGAAACCGGGAUUAAUACCGCAUAGUCAUAGAUGGGCUCGCGUCUGAUUAGCAAGUUGGUGAGAUAACAGCCCACCAAGGCGCCGAUCAGUAGCCGGUUGGAGAGGAGGACCGGCCACAUUGGAACGGAGACACGGUCCAAACUCCUACGGGAGGCAGCAGUUGGGAAUAUUGCACAAGGGGGGAAACCAUGAUGCAGCGACGCCGCGUGAACGAAGAAGGUAGUCGUAUCGUAAAGUUCUGUCCUAUGUGAAGCAGUACCAUAGUAGAAAGCUCCGGCUAAAUACGUGCCAGCAGCCGCGGUAAUAC
rnacentral:rRNA from 1 species